AGCAGCCGCGGUAAUUCCAGCUCCAAUAGCGUAUAUUAAAGUUGUUGCAGUUAAAAAGCUCGUAGUUGAAUUUCGGGAUCAAUAUAUCGGUCGUGCCUUUGGUACGUACUGGUAUCAUUGAUUUCUCCCUUCUGACGAAUCAUGAUGUCAUUAAUUUGGUGUUAUGAGGAGUUAGGACUGUUACUUUGAAAAAAUUAGAGUGUUUAAAGCAGGCAUUAGCUUGAAUACAUUAGCAUGGAAUAAUGAAAUAGGACGUUUGACCCUAUUUUGUUGGUUUCUAGGAUCGACGUAAUGAUUAAUAGGGAUAGUUGGGGGCAUUAGUAUUCAAUUGUCAGAGGUGAAAUUCUUGGAUUUAUUGAAGACUAACUACUGCGAAAGCAUUUGCCAAGGAUGUUUUCAUUAAUCAAGAACGAAAGUUAGGGGAUCGAAGACGAUCAGAUACCGUCGUAGUCUUAACCAUAAACUAUGCCGACUAGGGAUCGGAUGAUGUUAAUUUUAUAAUGACUCAUUC
rnacentral:rRNA from 1 species